GGCUGACCUACGAUGAUAACGUGACCUGGCUGCCCCUUUGCUUGUCAGGGCUACUCUGGCUGAUCUGGGUGGCUGGGCGGCUCCAUCCUCCCUGCCCAUGCCCCAGUCAUCCCUUCCAAAGCUGCGUGGUCAGAGAGGACAGCCUGUCCCACUAGAGACCACCGACUUCAGCUAAAGGCCUAGGUUCAGCUGGCCCCUGCUAGCGCCUCUGCUCACGUCUUCGAGGUGCCUCUGCGGAGGAGCACAGCAGAGUGGAGCUUCCCAGGCACAGACCUCCAGGAGAGGCGCUGCAGGUGUCCACGGCAGGUGGAGUCUGCCUUUGCU
rnacentral:snRNA from 1 species